rnacentral:rRNA from 1 species
CCUACGGGUGGCUGCAGUGAGGAAUAUUGGUCAAUGGGCGCGAGCCUGAACCAGCCAAGUAGCGUGAAGGAUGACUGCCCUACGGGUUGUAAACUUCUUUUAUAAAGGAAUAAAGUGAGGCACGUGUGCCUUUUUGUAUGUACUUUAUGAAUAAGGAUCGGCUAACUCCGUGCCAGCAGCCGCGGUAAUACGUAGGGUGCGAGCGUUAUCCGGAUUUACUGGGUGUAAAGGGAGCGCAGACGGCGAUGUAAGCCAGGUGUGAAAGCCCGGGGCCCAACCCCGGGACUGCACUUGGAACUGGGAGGCUUGAGUGCAGGAGAGGUAGGCGGAAUUCCUGGUGUAGCGGUGAAAUGCGUAGAUAUCAGGAAGAACACCGGUGGCGAAGGCGGCCUGCUGGACUGCAACUGACGUUGAGGCCCGAAAGCGUGGGGAGCAAACAGGAUUAGAUACCCUAGUAGUC